GGAUGACUCACACCAUGUCUACAAUGAACUUUCUGUCCAGAAAGAGGAGACCAUUGGGUAUGCUCAGCAGAUGGCUGAUAAGGACUCCGGGGAUAUCUGCUAUGCCUCACUCAUCCACCUAAACCACUCCAGCCCUGAAGACUCCAUCUUUGCCAAGACCCUCCCCAACCUGAAACUCAUGCCUGACCCCAUUCUGUCUGUGGAAUAUGCCAGCAUCACGGGAAAGGGAUCCGAGCCCUCUAAGUCAGCCACCCUAGAAGUGGAGUCUAGAAACUAAAGGCAGAAUUCACCAGG